rnacentral:rRNA from 1 species
UACGUAGGGGGCGAGCGUUGUCCGAAGUUACUGGGCGUAAAGCGCGCGUAGGCGGGUUGGUAAGUCCGCUGUGAAAGCCCGGAGCUCAACUCCGGAGGGUCGGUGGAUACUGCCAGUCUUGAAGGUGCUAGGGGGAGAUGGAAUUACCGGUGUAGCGGUGAAAUGCGUAGAUAUCGGUAGGAACACCAGUGGCGAAGGCGGUCUCCUGGGGCAUUCUUGACGCUGAGGCGCGAAAGCUGGGGGAGCGAACGGG